UCACGACGGUUCGCCGUAACGGCGAUGAAAAGGGAACGGGGUGAGAAUCCCCGACAGACCCGCUGCUGUAUUUCCUGUAUUAUCGGAGCCAACAAGUCACUGAUCCGGGCAAGAGUGCCAUAGGGUUGGGAAGACGGUUCCGGAAUGGGAUAAGUCAGAAGACCUGCCGCCAUAAU
rnacentral:ncRNA from 1 species